UACAGAGGUCUCAAGCGUUGUUCGGAUUCAUUGGGCGUAAAGGGUGCGUAGGCGGCGCGGUAAGUCGGGUGUGAAAUCUCGGAGCUUAACUCCGAAACUGCAUUCGAUACUGCCGUGCUUGAGGACUGGAGAGGAGACUGGAAUUUACGGUGUAGCGGUGAAAUGCGUAGAUAUCGUAAGGAAGACCAGUGGCGAAGGCGGGUCUCGUGGACAGUUCCUGACGCUGAGGCACGAAGGCCAGGGGGAGCAAAACGGGG
rnacentral:rRNA from 1 species